UAACAGGUAACUGGAAACUAGGAUUCGAUUCCGUAGAGGGAGCCUGAGAAAUGGCUACCACAUCGAAGGACGGCAGCAGGCAUUAAAAUUACCCACCCCCGGCACGGGGAGGUACUGAUUAAAAAUACGAAUACGGGACUCAAUUGAUGCUCCGUAAUUCGAAUGAAUCCAAUUUAAAUCCUUUAACAAGGAAUAAUUGGAGGGAAAGUCUGGUGUCGCUGCCAAUA
rnacentral:ncRNA from 1 species